rnacentral:rRNA from 1 species
CUGGCGGGCAGGACUAACACAUGCAAGUCGAGCGGAUGAAGGGAGCUUGCUCCCUGAUUUAGCGGCGGACGGGUGAGUAAUGCCUAGGAAUCUGCCUGGUAGUGGGGGAUAACGUUCCGAAAGGAACGCUAAUACCGCGUACGUCCUACGGGAGAAAGCAGGGGACCUUCGGGCCUUGCGCUAUCAGAUGAGCCUAGGUCGGAUUAGCUAGUUGGUGAGGUAAUGGCUCACCAAGGCGACGAUCCGUAACUGGUCUGAGAGGAUGAUCAGUCACACUGGAACUGAGACACGGUCCAGACUCCUACGGGAGGCAGCAGUGGGGAAUAUUGGACAAUGGGCGAAAGCCUGAUCCAGCCAUGCCGAGUGUGUG